CCACGUUUGAAAGCUUUGAAAUUGUGCUCUCCUUUUACCCAAUAGUUGUUGUUUUUUUAUUAAUUCAGUAUAACGGUUUUAGGGAUGAGCAGCGAGCACCUUAAAUGACUGGACAAUCUUUUAAUAUAUUAUCAUUUAUUUAUUAAUUUAGGUGUUUUGCUGAUAAUUUAUUUGGGUGGUGUAAUGAUUUAUUCAUAUAUUUGCAUAACUGUUGGCCUGGGCUAAAAUAGUUAACAUGGUGCUGUUGAGAGCUGUUAGUCAGAUGGAGGGAUUAGAACAGUGUGAUUUGAACUUCCUGUGCUACAGUCAGCAUGUCAAGCACAAGCAGAGAUAAAGACAUCAGUCGCGCACCAGAAACGGGGCAGGCCACCCCAGUGGCAUAACAGGAUUCUCUCCAGCGCCCCACACAUCACGCUCUUCACAGUGUGUGGGGGUGUGGGGUUGGGGUUCUGUAGCCGUCUCCUUCUCUAUGGGCCUCCUCAUUCUUUCCUAUGUGUUUAUUUCUCAACCUUUCUCUCAACACAUGUAACUGUUUUUUUUAUCUGCUCUCCGCAGCGCGUGGCGCUCAGUCCAGACGAUGACGGAUUCCCCUGAGGGUGAUUCUUGUAGUUGCUCUCUCCUUCUCCGUCCCUGAAUCCAUGCGUCCUUUAGUCCUCCAUCUCUCCUUCCGUCGAGGAGGUCGCACGAGACAACGCAGCAAGGCACAGAGAGCCAAAAGGACACGAGAGCACUUGCUCUGCACAGCCGAGAGCUACAAACUGGCACUGCAGGGACUCGCCACGCUGCUCCUUCACCCCACUCCACUGUGACUAACAUUCGUAAUAUCCGUAACUCCUCCUCAUCACUGUCUACCUGUCAUCCCCAUCGGCCCAACAUUGCUUUUGAAAGGGCUACCAUUCUUUUAAAAUGGACAAUACACUGGACAAUAUACUGGAACCUCUCCUGGAACAGUGCUCUUUAGUUUGGUGGACUUGUAGAGCUGAACCGCUGAUGAGUCGGGUCCUCCACACCCAUGGUAAACAUUCCCGUCUGUUCUCUUUGUGACCUGUGUGAAAAAAAAAAGACUUCUGUUUUGGUUUGCCCCUAUGAGAUCAUGUUGACAUGAUGUAUAUUACUUGAACUGUUCAUUUUUUGUAUGGUUUGUAGGGGGAGGAAGGAGGGCCUGUUAUUCCUGUCAUUUGAGGAAACAUGCGUCCCGGUCAUUCCAUAGCUGUAUGGAGGCAUUUUGUACGCUGUUUGUUGCACAAACUUUUUCAAGAAGCCUUCUGCACUGUGUAAAUUAUUACAUAGGAUGGGGGGAAGGGUAGCCGUUGCAGUCAAAUGAGUCUGAAUCAUGAUUUGUAAAUAUGUUUUCAUACAGCAAAACUUUUGAUAAGGUUUUAAACAUUUCUUGUAAAAAGAAGAUGUGUAUAUUAGUCUCCUGGACAAAAAAAAGAGUGUAGACCAUACAUGGAUUUAUUUGUACUCGAGAGCACUGGAUUUCUUUACUACUUGAUUGUAACUAAAAAUUAAUAAUCUGCCAAAGUGUUUGUAUUUUUUUUUCUUCCUCCUGGUCUUAAUUUGAUUUUUGCUUUUUAACCGUA
ensembl:lncRNA